rnacentral:rRNA from 1 species
AUGGCGACCGUGGCAGCUGCAGGAUCGUCGGUGGAGAAGCGUCACGCCGUGUUCUUCCCUUUCCCGGCGCAGGGCCACGUGAAGCCGGCGCUCCAGCUGGCCAAGCUCCUCCACCGUUGCCAUGGCUUCCAGGUCACCUUCGUCCACACGGAGCACAACCGCCGCCGCCUCCUCCGCUCGCGCGGCCCCGGCGCGCUGGACGGGGUCCCCGGGUUCCGCUUCGCCGCCGUCCCGGACGGCCUGCCCCCGUCCGAGGCGGACGCGUCGCAGGACAUGGCUGCCCUGCUGUCCACCACGGAGGCCCUGGUCCCGCCCUUCCGGAGCCUCGUCUCCGGCCUCCUCCCGCCGGCGUCCUGCGUCAUCUCCGACGUCGAGCACAUCCUGUACGCGUCCAAGGACAUGGGUCUUCCCUGCGUCACCUUCUGGACGUCCAGCGCGUUCGCCUUCAUGGCCUGCCAGCAGUGCCAGCGGCUUGUCGACAUGGGCAUUGUCCCCCUCAAAGGGGCUGAGCAGCUAAGGAAUGGACACCUGGACGACACGGUCCUGGACUGGGUGCCGGGGAUGCCCAAAGACAUCCGCCUCAGAGACUUCCCGAGCUUAAUCCGCACCACGGACCCCGACGACGCCAUGCUCAAAAUGCUCUUGCGCUCAAUGGCGUGCCACAGGACCACUCCGUCCGCCGUCAUCUUCCACACCUUCGACGAGAUCGAUCGCGAGGCCAUGGCGGCCAUGUCCACCAUCCUGCCGCCGAUCUACGCCGUCGGGCCAUUGCCGCUCCUCCUCGAUCAAGUCGCUGGCAAUGGCAGUGAUAGUGCGGUUGACACGCUGGAAUCAAACCUGUCCAGGGAGAACCACGCCUGCCUAGAGUGGCUGAAUGGCAAGCGGCCAAACUCGGUGCUCUACGUGAGCUUCGGGAGCGUCGCAACGCUGAAGAGCGACCAGCUGGUGGAGUUCGCGUGGGGUCUGGCCAACAGCAAGAAGGACUUCCUGUGGGUGAUCAGAAACGAUCAAGUGAUCAACGGCGACGACGACCCCGCUGCUGCGGCCGUGCUGCCACCGGAGUUCCUGGAGGAGACGAAGGCGAGGAGCCACGUGACGAGCUGGUGCCCGCAGGAAGCGGUGCUCCGGCACGAGGCGACGGGCGCGUUCCUGACGCACUGCGGGUGGAACUCCGUCCUGGAGAGCAUCGGCGCCGGGGUGCCGAUGCUGUGCUGGCCCUUCGGCGCCGACCAGUACACGAACGCGAGGUACGUUUGCUCCGAGUGGCGCGUCGGCAUAGAGAUCGGCGGCGAUGUCAAGAGGGACGACGUGGAGGCGGCCAUCCAGGAGGUGAUAGAUGGAGGAGACAAGGGAGAAGAGAUGAAGAGAAUGGCCAUGCAAUGGAAGGAGAAGGCUACCGCGGCUGCACUGACGGGUGGGCCCUCUUGGGUGAAUCUGGAGAAGGUGGUCGAUGAGGUGCUUGUUGUGCAUCCUAGCAAGAUUAGUGAUACGGAAUUAUGA